rnacentral:rRNA from 1 species
GCACAAGCGGUGGAUGAUGUGGAUUAAUUCGAUGCAACGCGAAAACCUUACCUACCCUUGACAUGUCCGGAAUCCCGAAGAGAUUUGGGAGUGCUCGCAAGAGAGCCGGAACACAGGUGCUGCAUGGCUGUCGUCAGCUCGUGUCGUGAGAUGUUGGGUUAAGUCCCGCAACGAGCGCAACCCUUGUCAUUAGUUGCCAUCAUUUGGUUGGGCACUCUAAUGAGACUGCCGGUGACAAACCGGAGGAAGGUGGGGAUGACGUCAAGUCCUCAUGGCCCUUAUGGGUAGGGCUUCACACGUCAUACAAUGGCCGGUACAGAGGGUAGCCAACCCGCGAGGGGGAGCCAAUCCCACAAAGCCGGUCGUAGUCCGGAUCGCAGUCUGCAACUCGACUGCGUGAAGUCGGAAUCGCUAGUAAUCGCGGAUCAGCAUGUCGCGGUGAAUACGUUCCCGGGUCUU